AAUCAACGCUGGCGGCGUGCCUAACACAUGCAAGUCGAACGAGAAAGUGGAGCAAUCCAUGAGUAAAGUGGCGCACGGGUGAGUAACACGUGACUAACCUACCCUUGAGUGGGGGAUAACCUAGGGAAACCUGGGCUAAUACCGCAUAAUAUCGAGAGAUCAAAGGAGCAAUUCGCUUAAGGAGGGGGUCGCGGCUGAUUAGCUAGUUGGUGAGGUAAUGGCUCACCAAGGCUAUGAUCAGUAUCCGGCCUGAGAGGGCGCACGGACACACUGGAACUGAAACACGGUCCAGACUCCUACGGGAGGCAGCAGUGGGGAAUUUUUGCGCAAUGGGGGAAACCCUGGACACAGCAACGCCGCGUGGAGGGAUGGAAGUCCCUUGGGACGUAAACUCCUUUCGAUCGGGACGAUAAUGACGGUACCGGAAGAAGAAGCCCCGGGCUAACUUCGUG
rnacentral:rRNA from 1 species